rnacentral:lncRNA from 1 species
CUUUUGAUAAAAUUAUUACUGUAAAGGCAGAAUUUGGAAGUGAAAUGUGCAAGAACAAAUUGGUCCAUGGUAUGGCUGGCAAAUUUCAAUUAGGAAUGCCAAAAAUUGUGCCAAGAAGUAUGUAUUGGUUCUUUCGAACAGGAUAGAAACAAGAAACAAGAUUAGCUGCACAGAGAAUCAGGGUUGAUGACUCCAUAUACAAAUGAGGACAUACAAAUAAUAAAAAAUGGCCAUGAAAGAACAUGCUGGGAAGUGAGUUUGUGUCAAUAAAUUUAUACGAACUUGACAUUGCUUGUCGAAAAUUGUAAUGUAGCAUUAUAAGAACUUGACAUUGAUUAUCGAAAAUUGUGAAUAUUUGUCUGGUUGUUUUUGUAAAUAGUCCUGCAGAAGCAAUUGUAAAUAUGCAACUGU